AUGCACAUGCUGUGAGCUCGAUGAGUAGGGCGGGACACGUGGUAUCCUGUCUGAAUAUGGGGGGACCAUCCUCCAAGGCUAAAUACUCCUGACUGACCGAUAGUGAACCAGUACCGUGAGGGAAAGGCGAAAAGAACCCCGGCGAGGGGAGUGAAAAAGAACCUGAAACCGUGUACGUACAAGCAGUGGGAGCACGCUUAGGCGUGUGACUGCGUACCUUUUGUAUAAUGGGUCAGCGACUUAUAUUCUGUAGCAAGGUUAACCGAAUAGGGGAGCCGAAGGGAAACCGAGUCUUAACUGGGCGUUAAGUUGCAGGGUAUAGACCCGAAACCCGGUGAUCUAGCCAUGGGCAGGUUGAAGGUUGGGUAACACUAACUGGAGGACCGAACCGACUAAUGUUGAAAAAUUAGCGGAUGACUUGUGGCUGGGGGUGAAAGGCCAAUCAAACCGGGAGAUAGCUGGUUCUCCCCGAAAGCUAUUUAGGUAGCGCCUCGUGAAUUCAUCUCCGGGGGUAGAGCACUGUUUCGGCAAGGGGGUCAUCCCGACUUACCAACCCGAUGCAAACUGCGAAUACCGGAGAAUGUUAUCACGGGAGACACACGGCGGGUGCUAACGUCCGUCGUGAAGAGGGAAACAACCCAGACCGCCAGCUAAGGUCCCAAAGUCAUGGUUAAGUGGGAAACGAUGUGGGAAGGCCCAGACAGCCAGGAUGUUGGCUUAGAAGCAGCCAUCAUUUAAAGAAAGCGUAAUAGCUCACUGGUCGAGUCGGCCUGCGCGGAAGAUGUAACGGGGCUAAACCAUGCACCGAAGCUGCGGCAGCGACGCUGAUGCGUUGUUGGGUA
rnacentral:rRNA from 1 species